rnacentral:ribozyme from 1 species
CGCGGCAUUAAUGCAGCUUUAUUGCC